rnacentral:lncRNA from 1 species
UUUUCCAUUUGCUUGGUAGAUCUUCCUCCAUCCUUUUAUUUUGAGCCUAUGUGUGUCUCUGCAUGUGAGAUGGGUUUCCUGAAUACAACACACUGAUGGGUCUUGACUCUUUAUCCAACUUGCCAGUCUGUGUCUUUUAAUUGGAGCAUUUAGUCCAUUUACAUUUAAAGUUAAUAUUGUUAUGUGUGAAUUUGAUCCUGUCAUUAUGAUGUUAGCUGGUUAUUUUGCUCGUUAGUUGAUGCAGUUUCUUCCUAGUCUCGAUGGUCUUUACAUUUUGGCAUGAUUUUGCAGCGGCUGGUACCAGUUGUUCCUUUCCAUGUUUAGCACUUCCUUCAGGAGCUCUUUUAGGGCAGGCCUGGUGGUGACAAAAUCUCUCAGCAUUUCUUGUCUGUAAGGUAUUUUAUUUCUCCUUCACUUACGAAGCUUAGCUUGGCUGGAUAUGAAAUUCUGGGUUGAAAAUUCUUUUCUUUAAGAAUGUUGAAUAUUGGCCCCCACUCUCUUCUGGCUUGUAGAGUUUCUGCCGAGAGAUCAGCUGUUAGUCUGAUGGGCUUCCCUUUGUGGGUAACCCGACCUUUCUCUCUGGCUGCCCUUAACAUCUUUUCCUUCAUUUCAACUUUGGUGAAUCUGACAAUUAUGUGUCUUGGAGUUGCUUUUCUUGAGAAGUAUCUUCGCGGCAUUCUCUGUAUUUCCUGAAUCUGAAUGUUGGCCUGCCUUGCUAGAUUGGGGAAGUUCUCCUGGAUAAUAUCUUUUAGUGUUUUCUAACUUGGUUCCAUUCUCCCUGUCACUUUCAGGUACACCAAUUAGACGUAGAUUUGGUCUUUUCACAUAGUCCCAUAUUUCUUGGAGGCUUUGUUCGUUUCUUUCUAUUCUUUUUUCUCUAAACUUCCCUUCUCGCUUCAUUUCAUUCAUUUCAUCUUCCAUCGCUGAUACCCUUUCUUCCAGUUGAUCGCAUCGGCUCCUGAGGCUUCUGCAUUCUUCACGUAGUUCUCGAGCCUUGGCUUUCAGCUCCAUCAGCUCCUUUAAGCACUUCUCUGUAUUGGUUAUUCUAGUUAUACAUUCGUCUAAAUUUUUUUCAAAGUUUGUGACUUCUUUGCCUUUGGCUUGAAUUUCCUCCUGUAGCUCGUAGUUUGAUCGUCUGAAGCCUUCUUCUCUCAACUCGUCAAAGUCAUUCUCCAUCCAGCUUUGUUCCAUUGCUGGUGAGGAACUGUGAUCCUUUGGAGGAGGAGAGGUGCUCUGCUUUUUAGAGUUUCCGGUUCUUCUGUUCUGUUUUUUCCCCAUCUUUGUGGUUUUAUCUACUUUUAGUCUUUGAUGAUGGUGAUGUGCAGAUGGGUUUUUGGUGUGCAUGUCCUUUCUGUUUGUUAGUUUUCCUUCUAACAGACAGGACCCUCAGCUGCAGGUCUGUUGGAGUUUGCUAGAGAUCCACUCCAGACUCUGUUUGCCUGGGUAUCAGCAGCGGUGUCUGCAGAACAGUGGUUUUUCGUGAACCGCAAAUGCUGCUGUCUAAUCGUUCCUCUGCAAGUUUUGUCUCAGAGGAGUACCCGGCCAUGUGGGGAGGCAGUCUGCCCGUUCUCAGAUCUCCAGCUGAGUGCUGGAAGAACCACUGCUCUCUUCAAAGCUGUCAGACAGGGACAUUUAAGUCUGCAGAGGUUACUGCUGUCUUUUUGUUUGUCUGUGCCCUGCCCCCAGAGGUGGAGCCUACAGAGGCAGUCAGGCCUCCUUGAGCUGUGGUAGGCUCCACCCAGUUGGAGCUUCCCGGCUGCUUUGUUUACCUAAGCAAGCCUGGGCAAUGGCGGGCGCCCCUCCCCCAGCCUCGCUGCUGCCUUGCAGUUUGAUCUCAGACUGCUGUGCUAGCAAUCAGCGAGACUCCGUGGGCCUAGGACCCUCCAAGCCAGGUGCAGGAUAUAAUCUCCUGGUGCGAGGUUUUUUAAGCCCGUUGGAAAAGCGCAGUAUUCGGGUGGGAGUGACCCAAUUUUCCAGGUGCCGUCUGUCACCCCUUUCUUUGACUAGGAAAGGGAACUCCCUGACCCCUUGUGCUUCCCGAGUGAGGCAAUGCCUCGCCCUGCUUCGGCUCACGCACGGUGCGCUGCACCCACUGACCUGGGCCCACUGUCUGGCACUCCGUAGUGAGAUGAACCUGGUACCUCAGAUGGAAAUGCAGAAAUCACCUGUGUUCUGCGUCACUCACGCUGGGAGCUGUAGACCGGAGCUGUUCCUAUUUGGCCAUCUUGGCUCCUCCCCCCCCCCGUAUUGUCUUGAUAAACAUCUUAAACAGCAGAAAACAGGGUUGAGACCAGAGAACUGGUCUGACCACAGAUUUACCAGGGCGGAGUUUUUCCCCACCCUAAUAAGCCUGAGGGUACUGCAGGAGACCAGGGAAUACCUCAAUCCUUAUCUCAACCACAUAAGAGAGAAACUCCCAGAGCAGCUGUUUAUAGACCUCCCCCCAGGAAUGCAUUCCUUUCCCAGGGUGUUAAUA